GCUCCGGUAGCCUAGCGGUUAGAGCGUCCGCUUCGGAUGCGGGAGGUCGCUGGUUUGAACCCCGGCUGAGUCA